GAUGAACGCUGGCGGCGCGCCUAACACAUGCAAGUCGAACGAUUAAAGCACCUUCGGGUGUGUAUAAAGUGGCGAACGGCUGAGUAACACGUGGGCAACCUGCCCCUUUCAUUGGGAUAGCCACGGGAAACCGUGGAUAAUACCGAAUACUUCGAGACUUCCGCAUGGAAGACUCGAGAAAGCUCUGGCGGAGAGGGAUGGGCCCGCGGCCUGUUAGCUUGUUGGUGGGGUAACGGCCUACCAAGGCAAUGAUGGGUAGCUGGGUUGAGAGACCGACCAGCCAGAUUGGGACUGAGACACGGCCCAGACUCCUACGGGAGGCAGCAGUGGGGAAUCUUGCACAAUGGGCGAAAGCCUGAUGCAGCGACGCCGCGUGCGGGAUGAAGGCCUUCGGGUUGUAAACCGCUUUCAGCAGGGACGAGGCGAAAGUGACGGUACCUGCAGAAGAAGCCCCGGCUAACUACGUG
rnacentral:rRNA from 1 species